UUGGAGGGCAAGUCUGGUGCCAGCAGCCGCGGUAAUUCCAGCUCCAAUAGCGUAUAUUAAAGUUGUUGCAGUUAAAAAGCUCGUAGUUGAAUUUCGGGGUUCUACCGUUGGUCGGGCUUUGUCUGUACUGGUGUGUAGAAUUUCUACCUUCUGGGGAACCAUCAUGCUAUUAAUUUAGCGUGGUGGGAAACCAGGACCUUUACCUUGAAAAAAUUAGUGUGUUCAAAGCAGGCUUAUGUCUGAAUACAUUAGCGUGGAAUAAUAGAAUAGGACGGUGGUCCUGUUUUGUUGGUUUCUGAAUCACCGUAAUGAUUAAUAGGGAUAGUUGGGGGCAUUAGUAUUCAAUUGUCAGAGGUGAAAUUCUUGGAUUUAUUGAAGACUAACUUCUGCGAAAGCAUUUGCCAAGGAUGUUUUCAUUAAUCAAGAACGAAAGUUAGGGGAUCGAAGACGAUCAGAUACCGUCGUAGUCUUAACCAUAAACUAUGCCGACUAGGGAUCGGACGACGUUAAUUUUUCUUGACUCGUUCGGCGCCUUACGGGAAAC
rnacentral:rRNA from 1 species